CGGAAACAUGUCUAGCUUGCUAGAUGAUGUCGAGUGGCGGACGGGUGAGUAAUGCUUGGGAACUUGCCUUUGCGAGGGGGAUAACAGUUGGAAACGACUGCUAAUACCGCAUAAUGUCUUCGGACCAAACGGGGCUUCGGCUCCGGCGCAAAGAGAGGCCCAAGUGAGAUUAGCUAGUUGGUGAGGUAAAGGCUCACCAAGGCAACGAUCUCUAGCUGUUCUGAGAGGAAGAUCAGCCACACUGGGACUGAGACACGGCCCAGACUCCUACGGGAGGCAGCAGUGGGGAAUAUUGCACAAUGGGGGAAACCCUGAUGCAGCCAUGCCGCGUGUGUGAAGAAGGCCUUCGGGUUGUAAAGCACUUUCAGUUGUGAGGAAAAGUUAGUAGUUAAUACCUGCUAGCCGUGACGUUAACAACAGAAGAAGCACCGGCUAACUCCGUGCCAGCAGCCGCGGUAAUACGGAGGGUGCGAGCGUUAAUCGGAAUUACUGGGCGUAAAGCGCACGCAGGCGGUUUGUUAAGCUAGAUGUGAAAGCCCCGGGCUCAACCUGGGACGGUCAUUUAGAACUGGCAGACUAGAGUCUUGGAGAGGGGAGUGGAAUUCCAGGUGUAGCGG
rnacentral:rRNA from 1 species